AUGCUCGGCGCGCCCAUUCGCUUGAGAGUCAUCCUUGGGAAGGGAUAUAGCAAGCAAUUGCUGUAUGAAAAUGGUAGCCCCCUUAACGUUGCCGUGGGCAGGGAGCGAGGAGCGUUGAUUGCCUCGCGUUAGAUCACAAAAUAGACGGCUAAAGCGGCCUUAUCUGUUCGGAGGUUUCGUGAUAGAAGUCACAUCUUAUAGAAAAGAAUAAGGUGCCUGGGGGAUCUGUACAACUGGUAAAAACAUGUAGUCUAGAGAGAACUCCAGUCAGCAGAUGUCUCCUGCCUUUUUCUCGAGAAGGAAGUGGCAGAGAGGUCAUUCAGUCUGAAGUGUAUCUCUUCAUAAGGAUCCAAAAUAUUUCAUCUCUUCUCAUGGCACAGAAGAAGAUGGCUCCCAUUUACAGUAACAAUACUGCAAUGCCAACAAGGCUUCUGGAAAACUCUGGUGAUACUUCUACACUUUGGGCUAUCUUGCAUCACAGAAAAAUCAACCUGAUUAUCUCUUUUUAAGGAUUUAGAAGACACGGAGGAACAGCAAACGCUGUAUCCAUCUUUAGAAGUUGAGAAUAAGAGAACAGGUGAGAACAAAGAGAAUCGUUCAGGAAUCCAGGACCACACAAUGCGCAUCAUCUGAGCAGUGACAAUAGCAGAAGUGAAAUUAUGGGUGUUCACAGUAAGGUGAAAUGAUUGCCUGUGCAACAGAGGAAAGGAAGACAAAGGUGAAGACUCCAAUUAUUGCAAAAGAUUCUAUAGUUCCUGAUUUUUGGGACAAAGAGCAAGACAUACUAGCAACCGAAUGAACAACCAACUCUUGGAAAGUUAUAUGCCUUAAUUUUUACAUCCUUAGGUACAGAGAUACAAAAUAAAGCAAUAUUCUGCAUAACCUUGUAAUCCAUUAAUCAAAGAAACUUGUCAACCAAAACAACCACAACAAUGUUAUCUCCUUACAAUCAUAUGCCUUUGUUCAUUUUUAAAUUGUGUAAUUACAGGAGCAGUCUUAAACAGGAGUCUAGCAGCACCUUAAAUACUAACAAAAUGUUAUUCUUGGAUACUUUUUUAAGAUUAGCACUCACUUCUUCAGAUACAAGAAGUGAUGAGGCAAUCUUGGCUUCAUAUAUGCUUUUGAACUAGGCACAAAUAUAGCUGGAACAAUCUAUUAGGAAAUAAUUAGCUGUUCUAUUUUUCUGAAACAGAUUUGUAUGAUAAAGGCAAAAGAGAAGCCAUAAUCUGUGGCCAUGGACAACUCAUCAUUCCAGUGCUACCUCUGUUUUAUGGCAGGUCAUUUAUUUAGUGUGUAGAUUUCUCACUUUUAUGACAGGUGAGCUGAUGCUGCACCAAACCAAACUGAGUUAUUGCAACGGCACAUACAUGCCCUUGGGCUUCAGGGUAAAGGACGGGAUUCAGAUUCCAGAUACCAGCAAACUGAUAUUAAGGCCCGUCUUCCUGAUUGUAUUAACUGGAAGCAUAAUCUGUUGACAGAAUGUUAUCUGAAAUAAUGUUUGUCAGCAGGGAAUGUAGCAUGUCUAAAGAGGAGAUAAUUAGGCUGCGGUACCUGUGCUGUACCAUGGUUACUCCUUUCUCCAUUAGGGCUUUCCUGUUGGCCAUCUGAAGGAGCCAGAUUUCUUUGCGAGAGAACAGUCGGAUGGCAAAUGCCUUCUCUAAAAGCUUUUCCGCAGUCAUGUGCUCAUGGAUGUCCCACAUAAAAGCCUGCAAGCUCCCCUUGACAUCAGUCACAUCCAGUCCUUUAGAGCUUACUGAGAUCUGGUACUGCUUCAGCAGGGCCAGGGCAAUUCGGUAGAGGACUUUCUGCCCCUCCAGAAGAUACACAUCAAAUAUGCGGAUGACAUAAUCAAAUGGCAGGUCGUCAAACAGCCAUACCAGCCACUCAGAAUACACCUCAAAAAUGUUGUCUGUUGAGCUGGCUAUGAGUCGGUGAGCAGCUGGGCAGUGCUUGUUGGCUAGGUCUCCAAAUGUCAUGCACGAGGCCUUAUGACUGAGGAAGGAGCAAUCUAUGUAGGAGGUAUGGGAAGCAUUGCAAUAGAGGAGUCGGCAGGUAUUCUCAAAGCAUUGGGCUUCUUCUUGGUUGUAAUGAAGCAGCAGAGCAACCACAGCUGGAAGCAGAGGACAGUAGGUGAUUUCUGGGGACAUGUUGGCAAUGCAGAUGAGCACCUUUUUCAUAGCAGUAGUCCCCUCUGUAGUGAGGCAAUAUUCAGGCAUGAUGCUACUUACUAGGAAAUCAGGCAAGGGGUAAAAGUUGUCACUUUGGUGUUCAAACAGCUUGCCAGAUACAUCGCUGUAGACUGAGGCAUCAGGAGUCAUAAGCCGACAUGGUAUGUGCUUGAUAACAUGCUGGUAAGCUUGUGCCCUUAAGACAUGACUUCUAGCCCAAUGCCCUUCUCUUGCCAACUUCUUUAGUUCUUUACCAGACUUGCCAAUUAACUGUUGAUGAGUAUCUUUCAGCUCAUCCAACUUGGGAAUCUUGCUGUGGUCUACAAAUUCACUAGUGCCCAGGUAGGAGAUUGACUCGUUGACCCACAUCUCAGCCUUGGAGGGGAUUUCCAAAGAGACUAUAGAUGGGUUGGUAGUUUCUAUAGAACAAAGGCAUAUUAUUCAGUGAUUUAUUUUUCUGUUGAUCCUUUAUAAUGCUAUAAUCCUUUAUAAUGUUAUAAUGUUUAAAAGUUC